AGAUUCACUUCGGUGAUGACGCUGGGAACGCGAGCGGCGGAUGGGUGAGUAACACGUGGGUAACCUGCCCUAAAGUCUGGGAUACCACUUGGAAACAGGUGCUAAUACCGGAUAACAACAAUAGCUGCAUGGCUAUUGCUUAAAAGGCGGCGAAGGCUGUCGCUAAAGGAUGGACCCGCGGUGCAUUAGCUAGUUGGUAAGGUAAUGGCUUACCAAGGCGACGAUGCAUAGCCGAGUUGAGAGACUGAUCGGCCACAUUGGGACUGAGACACGGCCCAAACUCCUACGGGAGGCAGCAGUAGGGAAUCUUCCACAAUGGGCGAAAGCCUGAUGGAGCAACGCCGCGUGAGUGAAGAAGGUUUUCGGAUCGUAAAGCUCUGUUGUUGGUGAAGAAGGAUAGAGGUAGUAACUGGCCCCUAUUUGACGGUAAUCAACCAGAAAGUCACGGCUAACUACGUGCCAGCAGCCGCGGUAAUACGUAGGUGGCAAGCGUUGUCCGGAUUUAUUGGGCGUAAAGCGAGCGCAGGCGGAAAGAUAAGUCUGAUGUGAAAGCCCCCGGCUUAACCGAGGAAUUGCAUCGGAAACUGUGUUUCUUGAGUGCAGAAGAGGAGAGUGGAACUCCAUGUGUAGCGGUGGAAUGCGUAGAUAUAUGGAAGAACACCAGUGGCGAAGGCGGCUCUCUGGUCUGUAACUGACGCUGAGGCUCGAAAGCAUGGGUAGCGAACA
rnacentral:rRNA from 1 species